rnacentral:misc_RNA from 1 species
GAUGAAGAACGCAGCGAAAUGCGAUACGUAAUGUGAAUUGCAGAAUUCAGUGAAUCAUCGAAUCUUUGAACGCAUAUUGCGCUCUCUGGUAUUCCGGAGAGCAUGCUUGUUUGAGUAUCAGUAAACACCUCAACUUCCAUAUCUUUUUUGAAAUGGGAGUUGGACUUGAGUGAUCCCAACGCUUUUCCUCACCGAAAAGUGGCGGGUUACUUGUAAUGCAGGUGCAGCUGGACUUUUCUCUGAGCUAUAAGCAUAUCUAUUUAGUCUGCCUAAAAAACAGAUUAUUACCUUUGCUGCAGCUAACAUAAAGGAGAUUAGUUCUUGUGCUGACUGAUGCAGGAUUCACAAAGACGGCUUCGGCCGACUUUGUAAACUCGAUCUCAAAUCAAGUAAGACUACCCGCUGAACUUAAGCAUAUCAAUAAGCGGAGGA